UACAGAGGUCUCAAGCGUUGUUCGGAUUCAUUGGGCGUAAAGGGUGCGUAGGUGGCGCGCUAAGUCAGGUGUGAAAUUUCGGAGCUUAACUCCGAAACUGCAUUUGAUACUGGCGUGCUUGAGGACUGGAGAGGAGACUGGAAUUCACGGUGUAGCAGUGAAAUGCGUAGAUAUCGUGAGGAAGACCAGUGGCGAAGGCGGGUCUCUGGACAGUUCCUGACACUGAGGCACGAAGGCCAGGGGAGCAAACGGGG
rnacentral:rRNA from 1 species